rnacentral:misc_RNA from 1 species
UUAAGUUCAGCGGGUAUCCCUACCUGAUCCGAGGUCAAAGUAAAAAGAGGCUUAGUGGGAGGAGGUCUGCUAGAAGCGUGACGCAAUGUGCUGCGCACGAAGCCAACAUACCGGCUGCCAAUGAAUUUAAGGCGAGUCCACGCACUGAGGCGGAACAAACACCCAACACAAGCAGAGCUUGAAGGUUUAAAUGACGCUCG